AUCUUGGACAAUGGGGGCAACCCUGAUCCAGCCAUGCCGCGUGUAUGAUGAAGUCCCUCGGGUUGUAAAGUACUUUUGUCAGAGAAGAAAAGGUACCUCCUAAUACGAGGUACUGCCGACGGUCUCUGUACAAUAAGCACCGGCAACCUCCGGGCCAGCAGCCGCGUUAAUACGUAGGGGGCAAGCGUUACUCGGAAUUACUGGGCGUAAAGCGUGUGUAGGCGGUUCGGAAAGAAAGAUGUGAAAUCCAAGGGCUCAACCUUGGAACUGCAUUUUUAACUGCCGAGCUAGAGUAUGUCAGAGGGGGGUAGAAUUCCACGUGUAGCAGUGAAAUGCGUAGAUAUGUGGAGGAAUACCGAUGGCGAAGGCAGCCCCCUGGGAUAAUACUGACGCUCAGACACGAAAGCGUGGGGAGCAAACA
rnacentral:rRNA from 1 species